GUCAGCAGUUUCACUGAUAUGCAGGACCUGA
rnacentral:piRNA from 1 species